rnacentral:rRNA from 1 species
UGCAAGGUCGAACGAUGAAGCCCAGCUUGCUGGGUGGAUUAGUGGCGAACGGGUGAGUAACACGAUGAGCAACCUGCCCCUGACUCUGGGAUAAGCGCUGGAAACGGCGUCUAAUACUGGAUACGUCCCGUCACCGCAUGGUGUGCGGGUGGAAAGAUUUUUCGGUUGGGGAUGGGCUCGCGGCCUAUCAGCUUGUUGGUGAGGUAAUGGCUCACCAAGGCGUCGACG